rnacentral:lncRNA from 1 species
UCAGUAUCUGCUAAGUUCAAGAAUGCCCAUCUGGCAACCCGGUACCACAAGGACCUGCCCACCUGGCCACAAGGACAAACCAUUCCUGCCUGUUACCCCAAGUAACAUCUAAUUAAAGAAAGGGCUUGUGGUCCCCGUCCUUAGAAGUCUAGUAGGGUGAAUAAGACAAAGUGCACAAAUAAGCAGAUCUCCAAGGCAGGACACACCAACUGCCACAGCAGAUGUAAAAAUAACACAUCAUGGGAGUUGAAAAGUGAUAGCAGUAAUGUGUGACCUGGAGAAUUCAGGUCCCCCUGAAAGUAGCCAGGACACAGAGAGGGGAAGCUGCAGAAAGGACCUGGUUCCAGAAAGUGCAGCCUGCCGUGGUAUCCGUCAGAAGAGCCGGUCCAGUGGCCAACAUGUGAAUGGGUGAGAUCAUGGGGCAGAGAAGAGAGAGGACGAGAGGCUGGGGGCAGAGCCUUGAAGGAUGCCAGCACCAUGGGAAAAAGAACAAGCAGUUUCUGGGAGACACAAAAGGGAAACCGGGAAAGUGCAGCCUGGCCCAGCCAAGGGGGAGGCUUCAAGGGGGAGGUGAACAGCAGGACCAGAUGCUUCAGAAGUCCGGUGGGACGAGGUCUGAAAAUGAGCCCACGGGAUUUGGCAACAGGAGGUCACAGCAGCCCUUAGGAGGGCACAGUGACUGUGACGCUCCGGCGGGAUCCAGAUGGUGCCUGGGGGAGAGGAGAUGACUUCCUCCGGCUGGUCAGAGAAGCUUUGAGGAAACAGAAGGAAAGCGAGAAAAAGCAAAGCCCUUUGGGGCUGAGAAGUGGAAGGAGAGAAGGUUAUGUUUACCGUCUCAUCUCCUCUUUGCUCUGUUUUCUUGACUCUGGCUGCAAUAAUCAGUGCAUUCAUAGAAAAUAAAGCAUGUUAUUUGAUGAAAUGUGGAGAAUCA